GACGAACGCUGGCGGUGUGCUUCACACAUGCAAGUCGAACGAGGUAGCAAUACCUAGUGGCGGACGGGUGAGUAACGCGUGGGAAUCUGCCUUUAGAUGGGGGAUAACGGGUCGAAAGACUCGCUAAUACCGCAUAUGACGAAAGUUGAAAGGAGUAAUCCGUCUAAAGAUGAGCCCGCGUCCGAUUAGCUAGUUGGUAGAGUAAAAGCCUACCAAGGCGACGAUCCGGUAGCUGGUCUGAGAGGAUGAUCAGCCACAAUGGGACUAGAGACACGGCCCAUACUCCUACGGAGGCAGCAGUGGGAAUUUUACGCAAUGGGCGAAAGCCUGACGUAGCGACACCGCGUGAGCGAAGAAGCCCCUUGGGUGUAAAGCUCUGUCAGCUGGAACGAAAAAAUGACGGUACCAGCAGAGGAAGCAUUCGGCUAACUACGUGCCAAGCAGCCGCGGUUAAA
rnacentral:rRNA from 1 species